CAGUCAUGGUCUGGAGUCAAGAAAUGAAGAGGGCAAGCAAUGUUUUUGGCAUCCUGACUACAGUUACAUGCAGUUUGGGGCUGCUGCAAUGGCAACUCAACGGAGAGGUUAGGAACACCAACUCCAGGAUCAGGCAAUCUUUGAAUCCCUGUCACUAGCAGCUUUGUAUAUUGGAGCAAGUUACUUAACAUCUGUCUGCUGGAGUUUGCUGGAGGUUCACUCCAGACCCUAUUUGCCUGGGUAUCACCAGUGGAGGCUGCAGAACAGCAAAGAUUGCUGCCUAUUCCUUCCUCUGGAAGCUUCUUCCUAGAGAGUCACCUGCCAGAUGCCAGCCAGAGCUCCCCGAAAUGAGGUAUUCAGUGACAUCUUUCUAAAUUGUUUAAAAUGAGAAGCAUUGCACACUGAGAGUCAGGAUCCAAGUGUCUUUGACUGAGCCAACUCAGCUCUGCUAUUAACUUAUGGUGUGAUCGCAGGCUGUCUAGAAAAGGACACCAACAAUCACCCAUGAAGAUUGCCCUUCAACCUUUGGGAGGAAAUGAUCGAAAUGGGAGCUAGAGAAGAUUGUUGUUGGAAUCUCAGAGAUUAUAAGCAAUUUCUCCAUGGCUGGAAUUCAGUUGAUCUGGGACUGAACCUAUUUCUAAUGGGGUCUUGAUAUAUUGCCCAGGCUGGAGUGCAGGGGCUAUUCACAGGCACAAUCAUAGCUCACUACAGUCUCAAACUCCUAAUCUCAAGCAGUAGCUGGGACUGUAAGUAUGCACCAACACUCCCGGUUUGGGUAUCUCCAUUGAUUGGCAACCAGCACCACAGUAGAUGCUGAUGAAAAGAAAGUUAUGAAUGUCAUGUAAAAUGACAGUAGUAUUAGCAAAUGUGCUUUUAAUUAUAAGAAAAUUACAAUAUGUAAAAAAAUUUCAAUUUUCCCAUAUUAUCUCUUAAUAAUAACUGCCAUUUGUUGAGCCCAUUGGGUAUGUUACAUAUAUUAACACAACAGGAUGGACAUUAUCUAUCUUAUAUAUAUUAUGUGUAUAUAUACGGAAAACAGGACACAAAUUGUCUGAGGCCAUGGACAAUUAGCUUGCAGUAAAGUAGGAUUCUAAAUUAGGUUUCUCUAGCUCCAAGACCCAUGCCAUUUUGUUUGGUCAUUUGCUUCUGAUGAAUCAAAUAUUAAUUCAGCCAAAGACAGCUAUUCAAAGCUGGUUGAAUAACUUACUAUGUGUAAUUCACUUGUGUCCUGCCUUUCUUCCGAACUUUUGUACAAAACCUUGAUUAUUUUAAUAAGGCAUUCUAUACAUAAAGUUUCAAAUAAACCAUAAGUACCUCAAGAAAAUGUCAUAUAAUUUAGAAUUGAAUCAUAGCAUAUUUUUAAUCUGGAAGCAACAUAUCUAAAUAAGCCAUUUUUAUAUUAUAAAUACAAACAGGUACAAAGAAGUAUAGUUCACUUUACAAGCUGUUGUACAUGCAUAAUACCAUAUUAUGCUACCAAAGAAACUAUUAAGUUAUACAUAUUUUUUACAGCUUUAACUAUUUUUGUUGUCAAUUUCCUCUAAUAAGAUUUUUUCUGGAUAAACAAAAAUUUAUCUACUCAAAUGAUUGUUUUUCUUCAACAUCAUAAUGUUGCAGGCCUAUUGAUGUAUAUUUUUGUGUACUAAAUAGUUUGUGGAGCUCUUCUUGAAGAAUUAUCUUCAGAGCUGAUUAACCAGACACACCCUCCAGACAUCAUAGUCACAGCUGCUUUGAGACAGCAACAACCUCAUCCCCGCAAAUAGUAUGGAUUCCUGUCUUAUUCAAUAGGUCUGAAUUUUAAAUACUCUUAGCUUAUUUCAAGAACUAAAUCUAUCCUCCACAAAUAAAAAUGUGCUGCCGCUCAGAAUAUUUAGGAGAAUAUGUGAUAGCCAAGAUACUUUUGGCUUAUUUCAAAAAUUCAUCUAUCUCCACAAAGGAAAAUGUUUCACCAUUCAGAAUAUUCAAGAGAAUUUUCUUAGAAAAGAAAUCCAAGAUUGUAUUCAUUGGAAUAACAGACCUUUCUUCAAGGUGACUUCUUUCAAAAGAACAAUAUUUAGGGGUAUAUAGAACAUCAUUUUUAAAAUAAUUUAUUUUGCUAUAUUUACCACAUUUCAUGACACCCUAAAAGAUUUUGGCUAAUGAAAUUUAUACAGUUCAAAUGUGUAUUCCUGAAGAGACAAGACUGAGGGAAAAAAAAUUAUCUCAAAGUCAUUCUCAAAUUAGACAUGAAAUGAAUUAUUAAUUUCUACAUAUUUUACCAUCAUGCUUGUAGUUUUAAUAAACAAAAAUCAAAUGCAUAUAGGCUUCACACACUUUGUGUAAUUGCUUGUUUAACAUCCCCAAAUUCCAUAAAUGCAAAAACUAGAUCUGUCUGGCUUUCCAUUAAGUCCCCAGCACCUAGCAAGGUGCUUAACAAAUAGCAGAUGGAUGUUGGAAGGAAUAAAGGAACAAAGAAAAGAAUAGAAGAAGUUAGUGACUUGAUUCUAUACAGAGUGGACCUUGACACAUACUGCAAGUGAAUGUUAAACUAAAAGUAUAAUUUCUUUAUCAGUGAAUAUAUUUCCAUGAAUUUUAAGUAUUUUGCUGAUGAUUUAUUAAAUAUGUAUUUCACUACUUUCUUUUCUUUUAAUCAGUCCUAUUCCAUCCCCUUCAAAUAAUAAAAAAGUUUCAAUG
rnacentral:lncRNA from 1 species